CUCUCUCUCUCUCUCUCUCUCUCUAUAUAUAUAUAUAUAUAUAUAUAUGUGUGUGUGUGUGUGUGUGUGUGUGUGUGUGAGAGAGAGAGAGAGAGAGAGAGUA
rnacentral:miRNA from 1 species